CCUACGGGAGGCAGCAGUGGGGAAUAUUGCGCAAUGGGCGAAAGCCUGACGCAGCGACGCCGCGUGAGGGAUGAAGGUCUUCGGAUCGUAAACCUCUGUCAGCAGGGAAGAACGGUCACUGUGCUAAUCAGCAGUGAAUUGACGGUACCUGCAAAGGAAGCACCGGCUAACUCCGUGCCAGCAGCCGCGGUAAUACGGAGGGUGCGAGCGGUAAUCGGAAUUACUGGGGGUAAAGCGCUCGUAGGCGGUAUGUCAAGUCAAGGGUGAAAUCCCCGCGCUCAACGUGGGAACUGCCUUUGAAACUGGUAAACUGGAGUGUGUGAGAGGAUAGUGGAAUUCCAGGUGUAGGGGUGAAAUGCGUAGAUAUCUGGAGGAACAUCAGUGGCGAAGGCGAUUAUCUGGCACAUAACUGACGCUGAGGAGCGAAAGCGUGGGUAGCAAACAGGAUUAGAUACCCGUGUAGUC
rnacentral:rRNA from 1 species